rnacentral:lncRNA from 1 species
AAAUUUCAUGUUCAGCAUGGCUGACCUGAAAUUCUAAUAGCAAUUACUCUUCAAGAAUCAAACAUCUAGCCACAUAAUUUAUAUAAAGAUCUCAUCUUGUGUGUAUAAACAUACACACUCAAUAUGUCAAAGUUCAUGACCUUAAUAUUAUCAAAUAUAAUAAUAAUAAUAAUGCUCCCUAAACAUGAAUUAAGUUUAUUAGGAAAUUUUCAAAAAAAGUGUCCACUUAUGAAAUUAGAGUACCAAAUUCGCUAGAUAUCUUGGUCAUUAAUCAUGUAUGUAUAUAACAUGAAUAAGCAACUCCAUAAACAGUUGAAUUGAAAAAAUUGUAGGAAAAUAUGAAGUUUAAUAGCUUAGAAAUACUUAAAACAUAACCUAGCAAAGAAAAAUAAAAACAAAAUUAAAUCAAAAAUUAGGGUUUGAAAAAUGAAUUUACCUCCUCAAUAAAAUGUUCAGAUGAGUAUCAUGAAAUCCAAAAUGAUUUGCAUAAUCAAUAGAGAGUAUUUAUCUAAAAUGAUUUGUUCCUCUAUUGUAACUUUAAAUACUCAAAUUGAAAACUAACCUUUAAUUAGAUGUAACGUACAAUCCCAAUGGAGGAAAAGGUGAACAAAUCAACCGCCGUCAUCGCCAAAAAAUAAUGUUACCUUCGAAAAUUAGGGUUUUGUAUUUCAAAAUUAGGGAUAAAGUGAGAGAAUAGAUAAGAGGGGAAAGAAAGAGGAGAGGGAUGAGGAGGAAGAGGGUUGUGAGUGAGUGGAGAGGCAGAUGGGAGGAAGAGAGCGAUGGAAUUCUGCGUUAGUUUUCUUUUUCUUUUAAUCGUUCCUGCUCCUGAGUAAUUAAAAAUGUACUUUUAAUAAUACCAACGAAAAU